CGACGGGUGAGUAAUGUCUGGGAAACUGCCCGAUGGAGGGGGAUAACUACUGGAAACGGUAGCUAAUACCGCAUAACGUCGCAAGACCAAAGAGGGGGACCUUAGGGCCUCUUGCCAUCGGAUGUGCCCAGAUGGGAUUAGCUAGUAGGUGGGGUAAUGGCUCACCUAGGCGACGAUCCCUAGCUGGUCUGAGAGGAUGACCAGCCACACUGGAACUGAGACACGGUCCAG
rnacentral:rRNA from 1 species